UGUAGUUCUUCCUCGUUCUUGCUUUUUUGGGGGUUUGCUGUUUUUUUUAAGACGCCGAGACACGGCUGGAAGGUGCUGUUGUAUGUCUACAGGAGGCGAGAGGAAAAGCAGAGGGAACACAGAAGGAGGGAGGAAAGGCCUCUCUCUCCCACUUCCGUGCCCCAGGCGGAACAUGGGACCGGUGAAGCAGGAACACAGGCAGCAUGACAGCCCUCCUAUGGAUUUGUAGACCACUUCGGGCCUCAGGGCUCCUGUGGUGACAGGGCGAGAGAGAGAGAGAGAGACACUAUACAAACUGCCUAAUCCAAGGAGCCAGCUGGUUAAUUAUGCAAAUCACACAAUGACUUUUUGACAUUUUGUGGCGGAGGUACAUGCCGCGCAGUAAUUGGUCAUUUACAGCAACAUAUAUGACACGGGGAUGGGGUCACCGUUUGCUAUUUAUCAUUUACAAUGUUGCCGUCGUGGCGUUUUGUAUUAAGGAGAAUAAAAUGACAACAUCUG